rnacentral:sRNA from 1 species
GGCCUGUCGCGGCUGCUGAGCGCUCGGCGCCUGGCGCUGGCCAAGGCGUGGCCAACAGUGUUGCAAACAGGAGCCCGAGGUUUUCACUUCACUGUUGAUGGGAACAAGAGGGCAUCCGCUAAAGUUUCAGAUUCCAUUUCUGCUCAGUAUCCAGUAGUGGAUCAUGAAUUUGAUGCAGUGGUGGUAGGCGCUGGAGGGGCAGGCUUGCGAGCUGCAUUUGGCCUUUCCGAGGCAGGGUUUAAUACAGCAUGUGUUACCAAGCUGUUUCCUACCAGGUCACACACUGUUGCAGCGCAGGGAGGAAUCAAUGCUGCUCUGGGGAACAUGGAGGAGGACAACUGGAGGUGGCAUUUCUACGACACCGUGAAGGGCUCCGACUGGCUGGGGGACCAGGAUGCCAUCCACUACAUGACGGAGCAGGCCCCUGCUGCCGUGGUCGAGCUAGAAAAUUAUGGCAUGCCGUUUAGCAGAACUGAAGAUGGGAAGAUUUAUCAGCGUGCAUUUGGUGGACAGAGCCUCAAGUUUGGAAAGGGCGGGCAGGCCCAUCGGUGCUGCUGUGUGGCUGAUCGGACUGGCCACUCACUAUUGCACACCUUAUAUGGAAGGUCUCUGCGAUAUGAUACCAGCUAUUUUGUGGAGUAUUUUGCCUUGGAUCUCCUGAUGGAGAAUGGGGAGUGCCGUGGUGUCAUCGCACUGUGCAUAGAGGACGGCUCCAUCCAUCGCAUAAGAGCAAAGAACACUGUUGUUGCCACAGGAGGCUACGGGCGCACCUACUUCAGCUGCACGUCUGCCCACACCAGCACUGGCGAUGGCACGGCCAUGAUCACCAGGGCAGGCCUCCCUUGCCAGGACCUAGAGUUUGUUCAGUUCCACCCCACAGGCAUAUAUGGUGCUGGUUGUCUCAUUACGGAAGGAUGUCGUGGAGAGGGAGGCAUUCUCAUUAACAGUCAAGGUGAAAGGUUUAUGGAGCGAUACGCCCCCGUCGCGAAGGACCUGGCGUCUAGAGAUGUGGUGUCUCGUUCGAUGACUCUGGAGAUCCGAGAAGGAAGAGGCUGUGGCCCUGAGAAAGAUCAUGUCUACCUGCAGCUGCACCACCUACCUCCAGAGCAGCUGGCCACACGCCUGCCUGGCAUUUCAGAGACAGCCAUGAUCUUCGCUGGCGUGGAUGUCACGAAGGAGCCGAUCCCUGUCCUCCCCACCGUGCAUUAUAACAUGGGCGGCAUUCCCACCAACUACAAGGGGCAGGUGAUGGUGCUGACUCCUCUCCCACAGCUGGAAAGAAGGCUGGGACGACGGGGCCCACCUCGCAGUUGUCUCUUUAGAUCUUACAGGAAAAGACAUGUUUCCUUCAAGAAAGUACUGUGUUGUUUUCUAGAUCGCACUUUAAAUUUCUAUUACUGGAGGAUGGAGGGGGCUUGAUAAUUUAUU